rnacentral:lncRNA from 1 species
UAGUCCUAAUCAAAUUAGGACUCUAAUUUGAAUUCGAAGUCCUAAUCCGAUUAGGACUCUAGGAAUCUUACUCCAAGUAGGAAUCCAAAUUUAAUUCAAAACUCCUAAUCUAAUUAGGAUUGUAGGAAUCCUACUCCAAGUAGGAAUCCCAGUCCUACUCCAAAUAGGAUUCCCAGUCCAAGUAGGAAUCCCAGUCUAAGUAGGAAUCUCAGUCCAAGUAGGAUUCCUAGUCCUAAUCCAAUUAGGACUCUAGGAAUCCUACUCCAAGUAGGACUCUUGUUUUAAGUCCAAUUAAUUAAUUCUCUUUGUUC